AGGGUAUGGCUGUUCGCCAUUUAAAGUGGUACGCGAGCUGGGUUUAGAACGUCGUGAGACAGUUCGGUCCCUAUCUGCCGUGGGCGUUUGAGAAUUGAGAGGAGCUGCUCCUAGUACGAGAGGACCGGAGUGGACGAACCACUGGUGUUCGGGUUGUCAUGCCAAUGGCAUUGCCCGGUAGCUAAGUUCGGAACUGAUAACCGCUGAAAGCAUCUAAGCGGGAAGCAGGCCUCGAGAUGAGUUCUCACUGGAGCUUUAAGCUCCCUGAAGGGCCGUUGGAGACUACAACGUUGAUAGGCAAGGUGUGUAAGUGCUGUGAGGCAUUGAGCUAACUUGUACUAAUUACCCGUGAGGCUUAACCAUACAA
rnacentral:rRNA from 1 species